UACAGAGGUCUCAAGCGUUGUUCGGAUUCAUUGGGCGUAAAGGGUGCGUCGGCGGCGCGGUAAGUCGGGUGUGAAAUCUCGGAGCUUAACUCCGAAACUGCAUUCGAUACUGCCGUGCUCGAGGACUGGAGAGGAGACUGGAAUUUACGGUGUAGCGGUGAAAUGCGUAGAUAUCGUAAGGAAGACCAGUGGCGAAGGCGGGUCUCUGGACAGUUCCUGACGCUGAGGCACGAAGGCCAGGGGAGCAAACGGG
rnacentral:rRNA from 1 species